rnacentral:rRNA from 1 species
CGGCAGCACGGAGCUUGCUCUGGUGGCGAGUGGCGAACGGGUGAGUAAUAUAUCGGAACGUACCCUAGAGUGGGGGAUAACGUAGCGAAAGUUACGCUAAUACCGCAUACGAUCUAAGGAUGAAAGUGGGGGAUCGCAAGACCUCAUGCUCGUGGAGCGGCCGAUAUCUGAUUAGCUAGUUGGUAGGGUAAAAGCCUACCAAGGCAUCGAUCAGUAGCUGGUCUGAGAGGACGACCAGCCACACUGGAACUGAGACACGGUCCAGACUCCUACGGGAGGCAGCAGUGGGGAAUUUUGGACAAUGGGCGAAAGCCUGAUCCAGCAAUGCCGCGUGAGUGAAGAAGGCCUUCGGGUUGUAAAGCUCUUUUGUCAGGGAAGAAACGGUGAAAGCUAAUAUCUUUUGCUAAUGACGGUACCUGAAGAAUAAGCACCGGCUAACUACGUGCCAGCAGCCGCGGUAAUACGUAGGGUGCAAGCGUUAAUCGGAAUUACUGGGCGUAAAGCGUGCGCAGGCGGUUUUGUAAGUCUGAUGUGAAAUCCCCGGGCUCAACCUGGGAAUUGCAUUGGAGACUGCAAGGCUAGAAUCUGGCAGAG